rnacentral:rRNA from 1 species
AUUGACGGUAUUUAACCAGAAAGCCACGGCUAACUACGUGCCAGCAGCCGCGGUAAUACGUAGGUGGCAAGCGUUGUCCGGAUUUAUUGGGCGUAAAGCGAGCGCAGGCGGUUUUUUAAGUCUGAUGUGAAAGCCUUCGGCUCAACCGAAGAAGUGCAUCGGAAACUGGGAAACUUGAGUGCAGAAGAGGACAGUGGAACUCCAUGUGUAGCGGUGAAAUGCGUAGAUAUAUGGAAGAACACCAGUGGCGAAGGCGGCUGUCUGGUCUGUAACUGACGCUGAGGCUCGAAAGUAUGGGUAGCAAACAGGAUUAGAUACCCUGGUAGUCCAUACCGUAAACGAUGAAUGCUAAGUGUUGGAGGGUUUCCGCCCUUCAGUGCUGCAGCUAACGCAUUAAGCAUUCCGCCUGGGGAGUACGGCCGCAAGGCUGAAACUCAAAGGAAUUGACGGGGGCCCGCACAAGCGGUGGAGCAUGUGGUUUAAUUCGAAGCUACGCGAAGAACCUUACCAGGUCUUGACAUACUAUGCAAAUCUAAGAGAUUAGACGUUCCCUUCGGGGACAUGGAUACAGGUGGUGCAUGGUUGUCGUCAGCUCGUGUCGUGAGAUGUUGGGUUAAGUCCCGCAACGAGCGCAACCCUUAUUAUCAGUUGCCAGCAUUAAGUUGGGCACUCUGGUGAGACUGCCGGUGACAAACCGGAGGAAGGUGGGGAUGACGUCAAAUCAUCAUGCCCCUUAUGACCUGGGCUACACACGUGCUACAAUGGAUGGUACAACGAGUUGCGAACUCGCGAGAGUAAGCUAAUCUCUUAAAGCCAUUCUCAGUUCGGAUUGUAGGCUGCAACUCGCCUACAUGAAGUCGGAAUCGCUAGUAAUCGCGGAUCAGCAUGCCGCGGUGAAUACGUUCCCGGGCCUUGUACACACCGCCCGUCACACCAUGAGAGUUUGUAACACCCAAAGUCGGUGGGGUAACCUUUUAGGAACCAGCCGCCUAAGGUGGGACAGAUGAUUAGGGUGAAGUCGUAACAAGGUAG